rnacentral:rRNA from 1 species
CAAUCACUUGUCUUUUAAAUGAAGACCCGUAUGAAUGGCACCACGAGGGCUUAGCUGUCUCCUUUUUCAAGUCAAUGAAAUUGAUCUCCCCGUGCAGAAGCGGGGAUAUAAAUAUAAGACGAGAAGACCCUAUGGAGCUUUAGACCUAGUGCAGAUCACGAAAAAUACUUUUAAACAAAAAGAUUAAGCCCAAUGACUCCCGCAUGACUGUCUUUGGUUGGGGCGACCGCGGGGAAAAACAAAACCCCCACGAGGACUGAGAGUUUUACUCCUAAAACCAAGAGCCACAGCUCUAAGUAUCAGAAAUUCUGACCUAUAUGAUCCGGGAAACCGAUCAACGAACCAAGUUACCCUAGGGAUAACAGCGCAAUCCUCUUCCAGAGCCCA